AAAAAUUUAGUUAAUCUAUAACGUUAACUUGUCAAGUUAAAAUAAAUACUCAAUAUUAAUUUUUG
rnacentral:tRNA from 2 species